AUGGCCGGAGGGUCUGUCGCUCGUGUUACAUAUAAAUCACGAGAGGAAAGUCCGGGCAACAUAGAGCACCAUACUGUCUAACGGACAGCCGUCAGUAAUGGCAGAGCAGUGUGACAGAAAAUUACCGCCUCUCCGGAGGUAAGGGUGAAAAGGUGAGGUAAGAGCUCACCGGGCGCGUCAGCGAUGGCGCGUGCCGCACAUCUUAUGGGUUGCAAGGUCAAGUAUACCGGCAUUUAAGGGUUGCUCGCCCAUUGCCGAGGGGUAGACUGCUAACGGCGUAAGCCAGAUAAAUGACAGACGGGCGGCGGAGGUUCCUUCGGGAAAACACCGCUCCCACAUAACCCGGCUUAUACUCCGACCAUGCUU
rnacentral:RNase_P_RNA from 1 species